rnacentral:rRNA from 1 species
AUUGAACGCUGGCGGCAUGCCUUACACAUGCAAGUCGAACGGCAGCACGGACUUCGGUCUGGUGGCGAGUGGCGAACGGGUGAGUAAUAUAUCGGAACAUACCCAGUAGUGGGGGAUAACUAUCCGAAAGGAUAGCUAAUACCGCAUACGAUCUGUGGAUGAAAGCAGGGGAUCUUCGGACCUUGUGCUAUUGGAAUGGCCGAUAUCUGAUUAGCUAGUUGGUAGGGUAAAAGCCUACCAAGGCGACGAUCAGUAGCUGGUCUGAGAGGACGACCAGCCACACUGGAACUGAGACACGGUCCAGACUCCUACGGGAGGCAGCAGUGGGGAAUUUUGGACAAUGGGGGCAACCCUGAUCCAGCAAUGCCGCGUGAGUGAAGAAGGCCCUCGGGUUGUAAAGCUCUUUUGUCAGGGAAGAAACGGAGUUCUCUAAUAUAGGAUUCUAAUGACGGUACCUGAAGAAUAAGCACCGGCUAACUACGUGCCAGCAGCCGCGGUAAUACGUAGGGUGCAAGCGUUAAUCGGAAUUACUGGGCGUAAAGCGUGCGCAGGCGGUUUUGUAAGUCUGAUGUGAAAUCCCCGGGCUCAACCUGGGAACUGCAUUGGAGACUGCAAGGCUAGAGUGUGUCAGAGGGGGGUAGAAUUCCACGUGUAGCAGUGAAAUGCGUAGAGAUGUGGAGGAAUACCGAUGGC